UGGGGAAUUUUGGACAAUGGGGGCAACCCUGAUCCAGCAAUGCCGCGUGUGUGAAGAAGGCCUUCGGGUUGUAAAGCACUUUUGUCCGGAAAGAAAUCCCUUGCCCUAAUACGGCGGGGGGAUGACGGUACCGGAAGAAUAAGCACCGGCUAACUACGUGCCAGCAGCCGCGGUAAUACGUAGGGUGCGAGCGUUAAUCGGAAUUACUGGGCGUAAAGCGUGCGCAGGCGGUUUUGUAAGACAGGCGUGAAAUCCCCGAGCUCAACUUGGGAAUGGCGCUUGUGACUGCAAGGCUAGGGUAUGUCAGAGGGGGGUAGAAUUCCACGUGUAGCAGUGAAAUGCGUAGAGAUGUGGAGGAAUACCGAUGGCGAAGGCAGCCCCCUGGGACGUCACUGACGCUCAUGCACGAAAGCGUGGGGAGCAAACAGGGUUAGAUACCCUGGUAGUCCACGCCCUAAACGAUGUCAACUAGUUGUUGGGGAUUCAUUUCUUCAGUAACGUAGCUAACGCGUGAAGUUGACCGCCUGGGGAGUACGGUCGCAAGAUUA
rnacentral:rRNA from 1 species